rnacentral:rRNA from 1 species
UAAAGAUUCAUCGCUGAUAGAUAGGCAUGCGUUCCAUUAGGCAGUUGGCGGGGUAACGGCCCACCAAACCGACGAUGGAUAGGGGUUCUGAGAGGAAGGUCCCCCACAUUGGUACUGAGACACGGACCAAACUCCUACGGGAGGCAGCAGUGAGGAAUAUUGGUCAAUGGGCGUAAGCCUGAACCAGCCAAGUCGCGUGAGGGAUGAAGGUUCUAUGGAUCGUAAACCUCUUUUAUAAGGGAAUAAAGUGUGGGACGUGUCCUGUUUUGUAUGUACCUUAUGAAUAAGGAUCGGCUAACUCCGUGCCAGCAGCCGCGGUAAUACGGAGGAUCCGAGCGUUAUCCGGAUUUAUUGGGUUUAAAGGGUGCGUAGGCGGCCUUUUAAGUCAGCGGUGAAAGUCUGUGGCUCAACCAUAGAAUUGCCGUUGAAACUGGGAGGCUUGAGUAUGUUUGAGGCAGGCGGAAUGCGUGGUGUAGCGGUGAAAUGCUUAGAUAUCACGCAGAACCCCGAUUGCGAAGGCAGCCUGCCAAGCCAUGACUGACGCUGAUGCACGAAAGCGUGGGGAUCAAACAGGAUUAGAUACCGUGGUAGUCCACGCAGUAAACGAUGAUCACUAGCUGUUUGCGAUACAGUGUAA